ensembl:lncRNA
AUGUUCCUAAAAUGUCCAGUUUUCCUUCUCCAUGUGGUCUGUGUGUUAAAUCACAUUCCCUCAGUAGCAGCUCAGCUGAUAUCACAGGAGUGUGUGUGUGUGUGUGUGUGUGUGUGUGUGUGUAACACGAACCCUCGCUUCUCCAGCCACCUGUGCCUAUAGAGAAUACAGCAGCCUUUGUGUUCACAGCUCUGUAUGUCUCAACAGGUGCCAGUCAAAGCGGGAGCUCCUCUGUGCACAAAUAUGUUCACAAGUUUGGAAUUAUUAAGAUUUUUUACUGUUUCUGAAAAGAAGUCUCUUCUGCUCACCAAGGCUGCAUUAAUUUGAUAAAAAAUGUAACAGUAAAAUUGUGAAAUAUUAUUACAAUUCAAAAUAAGUGUCUUCUACUGUAUGUGAAUAUCUGUUAAACUGUAAUUUAUUUCUGUGAUGCGCAGCUGAAUUUUCAGCAUCAUUACUCCAGUCUUCAGUGUCACAUGAUCUUCAGAAAUCAUUCUAAUAUUCUGAUUCAAAUAGAUGCUUUCUGUUCAUUAAAAAAUUCUUAAAAGAUGAAUCACGGUUGAUAAUAAUUAGAAUCAUUAUUAAUAAUUGAUCCUCAAUAAUAAUUAAUGAUUGAGCGGCAAAUCAGUAUAUUAGAAUGAUUUCUGAAGAUCAUGUGACACUGAAGACUGGAGUAAUGAUGCUGAAAAUUCAGCGGCGCAUCACAGAAAUAAAUAAUAUUUUACUAUAUAUUCACAUAGAAGACACUUAUUUUGAAUAAUAAAAAUAUUUCACAAUUUUUACUGUAUUUGCUGUAUUCUUAAUCAAAUUAAUGCAGCCUUGGUGAGCAGAAGAGUCCAAAACAUUAAAAACAUUUGAACGGUAGUGUAAAUUGUAGUCUCGAAUAGCCGGCCAUUAAACUUUUUAAAACUUUUUGUACCCUGCUGGUAAAUACUGUAACUACAAUAUUUUAAAAACAAAACAAACUGUAAUCAAAUGCAUUUUAAGCAUGUCAUGUAUUUCUUUACAUGGUGACUUUUUCAAGGCCGUCAAUUAAACUUGAGCAGUUUGAAUCACAAUUUAUUUUUUGUUUCUGUGUCUCGUUAAGUGGUGGGUUUAUCUGAAAUAGUUAUUAUCACAAUAAUGGGGGGAAAAACUAUAAACAAAGCAGAAUAUAGAGAUUGCACCAAACCACUAAAGUUAAGAAACCCAUUCAACUAAGGUCUUUCUGAACUUUAAUGGUUUGCUGCUGUUUACUUGCAAACAAGCAACUCAAACAGUAAAAUUAAGCAAUGAUGCGAUGAAUAUCUGACCAUUUUUUAACUAGAUUUAGUCCUUUAUUGGUUUUGAUGGAAUUUAACAGAUUGAAAAAGCAAAAGGACGGGCUUCUGUUUUUUAUGAAUGUUUGAGUCUGUCCUCACCAAACACUGAAAGUGUGGUUAAAUAUAGAGCCUCGUCCAUUAUCUCCAGUUGUAGAGCAAAUUUAAGCAAUACUUCGUUUUUAUGGCUCUGACUUGGAGGGAAAAAUCACCAGUGCAACCUCUUUAAUAACUCUCUUGUUUCUUAGAUAGAAAUGAGAUUAAAUACAGUAAACUGAGGCUUCAUAGAUGUUGCUUCUCAUAUGUUUCAUAAAAUAUCUCAAAAUUGUCAUGCUAUUGACUUAUUUCUCCUAUAAGGAAAGGAGAUAAACAAAUAAAUAAACAAAUCCAUCAAGUCUCUCGAGUUACAGAACUUUAAGCAAUAAUGACUGUCUUUUCUGAUUAAAUACAGUGAACUAAGUCUUUUCAGAUGAAUCAAGUCCCAAUAAUCCCAUAUGUGUCAGAUUUAUACUAUAAAAAGUUGUAUUAUUUAAUUAUGAUUAGUUUUAUUAAGGUUGUUGGAGUACGUUUUACAGGAAAACACUAUUUCAAGCUUUCUACUACAAAACUUUGAUUCAACAUUCUGUUUGUUUCUUUGUAGUUGAAAUUUGUGAAAACUGGUUUGUCACGUUUUUUUUCUUUCAGUGUUGAUUUUUUUUUUUUUUUUUGGGAAGUAUCAAAAUCGUCAUGCAACUGACUCCAUUUGUUUCUGUCUAAGGAUUUUAUGGGAGAAAUAUCUGAGACGCUUAAAUUAACUUAUUAAUUAAUUAAUUAAUUUAAUUAAGUCUCUUGUGCUACAGAAGAGCAAACUUUAAGCAAUUUUUUUC